AUGGAACUUGCAGUAUAAGAACCAAACAGAAACAAGUGUGGCAAUGUGUCCAUCCCUUGCCCCUUCGGCAUCGGCACUGGUUGUGCUGUCGCCAGCCUGAGUCGCUAUUUCAUCAUCACCUGCAACACCACCUUCCAGCCACCACGACCUAUGAUUAGUGGUGGCAUUCCACAAACCAAAGAGAUCAUCGACAUCUCCCUGGAGCGUGGCGAGAUGCGCAUGUAUGGUCCCGUCAGCCACAGCUGCUUCACAUCAAACAGCACCAUGUCGGGCAACAUAUUGACGAGAACAGCAGAAGCUCUGCCUUUGCAUUAUAGAUGGGAGGAGAUAUAAAGCAACAUAACAAGCGAAUUCAGCCUGGAGGCCACGCCGUUCAUCCUGUCGAUCGGCCACCCGUAACCGAUUCAUGGCCAUCGGCUGCAACACUCUAGGGCUCAUAGGCGAGUCUAUGCACGGUGACACCGACCCGUACGUGACUGGCUGCUACUCCUACUGCAGUGGCCUUAACAGCAAGUCCGAUGAUGUCCCCUGCACUGGAAUGGAUGCUGCGUGUGACCAUCGUCGGCCCAAACCUCAUCAACUUCACAACGGCGACCUGAAUAGUGUGUGGAAAUUCAACCCAUGCUUCUACUCUAUGCUUGCAGAGGUUGGAUGGUACAGCUUCAAGCGGCAGGAUCUUGUCACACACCUUGGGUUUGUCAAUGAGAGGGCAAAAAGGGGUGUCCCCGUCGUCCAUGACUGGGUCAUCAGAAAGGGUUCCUUCCCGGAGGGAGAGAAAGCAAGCACCCAAAGACUCUGCAUGUGUCAGUUCUAAAAGCUAUUGGUGUGAAUCAAAGCAAUGGCCUUGGCCCUUGGGUACCUAUGCAACUGCUCCAAAGGAAACGAAGGGAAUCCUUGUCUUCCCACAAGCUGUCAAGACAUGGAUGAGUGCCAAUUGCGUAAGCAGGACCCAAAGUUUGAACAAUUAUAUCCAUGCAACAAUGGAGUGUGCCAAAACCAACCAGGAAGCUAUAAAUGCAAAUGCAUGACAGGAACAAGACCAGACGGUACAAAUUAUGGAUGUCAAACUGUGCUUCAUAAGGCUAAACAAGUGGCAAUAGGCCUCGGUGUUCCUGCAUUUGUAGUGAUGGCUCUAACAUGUUUGUUGGUUAUGAAAUUACAAAGAAAGAAGCACGUGAAGGAGAAAGAUGAGCACUUCAAACAGAAUAGAGGUCUGAAAUUAUAUGAUGAAAUGAGAUCAAGGAAAGUUGAUGUUCUUAUACUUACAGAGAAAGAGAUAAAGAAAGCCACAGAUAACUACAGUGGUAAUCGAGUGCUUGGAUGCAGUGGCCAUGGAACAGUCUAUAGAGGAACUUUAGACAAUGACAAAUAACUUGCCAUAAAGAAGUCCAAAGUUGUAGGUGAUGACUGCAGAGAAGAAUUUCUAAAUGAGAUAAUCAUAUUGUCACAAUUAGAAGCGUUCAAAGCACUGAGAUUACUCAGCUGUUGCUUGGAGGUAGAUGUGCCAAUGUUGGUGUAUGAGUUCAUAUCCAACGGUACCCUCUUUGAGUUCCUUCAUGGCAAUGAACGCGGAUCAACAAUCCCAUUGGAUCUUCGACUCAAGAUUGCUACACAGUCAGCAGAGGCUCUUGCUUACAUCCAUUCAUCAACUUCUCGCACGAUUCUGCAUGGGGAUGUCAAAUCACUCAGUAUACUAUUGGAUGAUGAAUACAGUGCAAAAGUUGCAGAUUUUGGAGCAUCAGCGCUAAAGUCCCUAGAUAAAGAUGAUUUCAUCAUGUUUAUCCAAGGAACUUUUGGGUACCUUCACCUUGAAACUUUUGUCAGUCACCACCUUACUGAGAAAAGUGAUGUCUACAGUUUUGGGGUUGUUCUUGUGGAGCUAAUGACAAGAAAGAAGGCUAUAUACAAUGAUGAUUUUAAUGGGGAAAAAAUCGUCAUCUCAUACUUUUGCAUCAAUGUUCCACCAGAACAAGCUCAGCAAUGUGUUGGACUGUGAAAUAAUAGGAGAUGAAGUAAUGGUAGUGCUCUGGAAACUAGCUGAACUCGCCAUGCAUUGCCUGAGCCCAAGAGGAGAUGAGAGGCCAACCAUGAAGGAAGUUGCAGAGCGCCUACAGAUGUUGAGGAAAAAUACAGAUGCAGCUUGUCACAAAAUCAAAACCUACCAGAGUACAUUACUCUUGUGGAGGAUCGUCGAUGCCUGCCACUGCAGACAAGAUCAAAUACCAGAGCAUGGAUACAGCCAAACUAGUACUGGACGUAGACAAUGCAAGAUGA
rnacentral:rRNA from 1 species